UCAUUUCACGCGCUUACAGAACCCUAAAUCCCUCACUCUUUUCCUUCACGCUUCCUGAUUUCCCUUUGUUCUUCACCUUCAAGUCUAUGAAGUUUAAUCGAUUCUGAUUGGAUUUAAUAUGUUUCAUACCUGUUUAUUGUAGGUUUCACAUUCUAUGAAGAAAUCAUACAUCGUGAGUCAACGAUCCUGAGAUAGCAUCAUCAGCUCUCAAUCACACAAACCCUAAUCCUAAUCAUCAUCUACUCUCGGACAUCAUCAGGUUAGCUGUAUCAAUGUAACAUAUCUCUUCUUCAUCUGUUGAAUCUUUUUCAUGUUAUUUAGAUCUGGUUAAUUUGGGAUUAGGGUUCUUACAAGUCCAUCUCUGACAAUCAAAGUCGUGAAGACCAUCUCUGAUAUUAUAUUGUUAGUAUCCGGUUAAUUUGGGAUUAGGGAUUUUACAAGUUAUUGUUUAAAUUGAAACUAAUCUGGUGCAAGUCAGAAGUCAGAAGUAAUAAGCAACAGGGAUUUUGUUUUGGUUUUGUGGAAUUCAUGUCAUUGGAUUCCAUGCAUAGUGCUAUAAAGGAUUUCGUUGAUUGUUGAAAUCGAUAAAGAUUCACUCUGUUCUUGGUUCAAUCUAAACAGGUGGAAGAAAAUGAUGAAAUCAAUGGUCGUUUCAAGAUGGGAUUGUUUUCAAGAUUUAAGAAAAAAAGAGAGUGAGGGUGAGGAGGGGGUGGAGACGAGGCACUGGCAAUGAAAAAAUGUGCAGAUUCCAUAAAACUUGCAUCAAUGAUCUUGUAUCAAAAAUCUUGAAGAGCUGCUGGUGCAUAUAGCCACAGUCAGGGUCGCGACACCAUUGCUGCUGGUAUUGAAGCUCGGGAUGGUUUUCCUGCUGAUCCAAAUGAUAUCUUCUUGACAGAAGGUGCAAGUCCAGGGGUCCAUAUGAUGAUGCAGUUAUUAAUAAGAUCAGAGAAUGCUGGUCAAUGAUACACAUUUGACGAGUUGACUACCUCUCCAGAACCCAACUUCAGAAUCACUAGGUUUGAUAUCUUCUUUAGACGUAGAUAAAUAAACAAGAUUCCAGUUAGCAAACAAUGAUUGAGGCAGAUACUCGUCGCCACGGGGAAGACCCGAAUCAUAACAAACGCUUUUCAGCCGUUGAAGUUUCCUCCAAACGACGCGGCUUCAGAUGAAUCAGUUAGGGCACAUUUUCAUCAUCAUCUUUUGAGGUGGGUAUGCUUGAACAACUGGUGUAUGAAGAAGUAAUAGAAUUAAAACAAAACCCCUGGAAUAUUGGAAGGGUGAAAGGCUCUUCUAUGCACGAGUGCAUAAUAUGUUAUCAAUUGGCAUCAGCAAACUAGCUAGGAACUACAAUCAGUUUCUUUAUAUAUGGCUGUGUCAAGCUUCAUGUAUUUCCGAAAGGUUGCCUACACUAUUUGCAAGGUCGCUCACAAGGAAAAAUGUAGUGGUCUAUCAUACGGAGAAAAUGUAACAAAAUGGUUUUUGAAGGGUGAUAAUCUAGGUAUUUUUUUAUUCGUCCUUUAAUAAUUUGGAUAAUAAUCUUAUGAGCAGAUUGUUUCAAUAACUUUUUAUAUUUCAUUAUCACAUGUAAUACAUCAAAUUUUGGUUAUAAGGGAAUAUUUAGAGAUUUUUGAUUA